rnacentral:rRNA from 1 species
GACGAACGCUGGCGGCGUGCUUAACACAUGCAAGUCGAACGGAAAGGCCCUGCUUGCAGGGUACUCGAGUGGCGAACGGGUGAGUAACACGUGGGUGAUCUGCCCUGCACUUCGGGAUAAGCCUGGGAAACUGGGUCUAAUACCGGAUAGGAGCCAUUUUUAGUGUGAUGGUUGGAAAGUUUUUUCGGUGUAGGAUGAGCUCGCGGCCUAUCAGCUUGUUGGUGGGGUGAUGGCCUACCAAGGCGGCGACGGGUAGCCGGCCUGAGAGGGUGGACGGCCACACAGGGACUGAGAUACGGCCCAGACUCCUACAGGGGGCAGCAGUGGGGAAUAUUGCACAAUGGGCGCAAGCCUGAUGCAGCGACGCCGCGUGGGGGAUGACGGCCUUCGGGUUGUAAACUCCGUUCGCUAGGGACGAAGCUUUUUGUGACGGUACCUAGAUAAGAAGCACCGGCUAACUACGUG